GCAGAGGCUGAAGAAGAGUUGGAGGCUGAUUCAGCCUGGUGGGGAGCGAGCUGAGGAGGAGCAGUCUGGGAAGAAGAACUCUUGAUGGCCUGCUUCCCAUCCUCCAUCCUGGAAGACUGAUCUGAAACCCCAGGAGGAGGUCCUCUGAGCCCUGAGGCAGAGAUCUCUCACCUGGAAGAUGGGUCUAAUGACUGCGCCCCACACACACCAGAGAGGACUGCAGAUAGUGCGGGAUGAGAGGAAGAUCUCUGGCCCUGGAGACAGCAUCAUCAAGCGGUAGCUUCAUCUUUGGGAGCUGGGGCCUCUGCAGGAGCUUUACCCUCCUCUCUCCAUGCUGAGCCUGUCUCAACCCCCUAACCUGCACCCCAGUCUUUUGGGGUCACCUCAAGGCUUUGGCUGAUGCUUCUUUGCUGACGUCAACCAAGAAAACGUAUGAGGAAGAAAAUAGCAGAUGAGAAGAAUCAACCAAAUUCCGGAAGCUGGAAGGCAGAUGGAAGAAGGCCCUUGAAUGAUGCCAGCACCUUGAUAUUGGACUUUCCAGCCUCCAGAACCAUGAGCCAAUACAUUUCUGUUCCAUAAAAAUUACCCAGUUCCAGGUAUUCUGCUAUAGCAGCACAAAAUGGACUAAAACAAUGUUGGCACAAGACUCAGUGCUGGGCCUGGCAUGCAACAGGUCCUUGGAGUGGCGUGCUGUGUGGAUAAUGAAUAUUGGGGAAGGCAUCUCUCUCCAGCCCCUCUCAAGCUUUCUGUAGUCACUGGUCCACUCUGUAUUGCUAUGAAGAAGCUCAAGACCAGCCUGUAUCACUCGGGGUCCUGGCAGGAACCAGGUGCCACACUCAAACUGAGUAAUUGAAGAGGGUUUAAUAUGGGAGUUAUUUACAUAGGUGUGGGCUGGUGUAGCUGCCCAUAUGCCCUCAAAAUCACCUCUACAUGGCAAUAGCUACUUACUGCUAACAGAGUCUCUCUCUCAUUGCUGCAAAUAUUUUCUAGCCAUGCAAGAAACUCAGCCGGUCAUGUUGAACAAACUAAGAGUGCCAGGAAGUUAAUGUCCUGGAAGCAUUGCCAGAGGGGAGGGGGCAGUUAGAUUCCCCAGCUUCCUCGCUCCUCUGCUGGGUUAAGCCUGCAACAUAUUCAUCAUCUCCCAGAGUGCUGCCCAGGGAUAGAGCUCCAGGUGCUCAGUGUGGUGACCUGCUCAUGUCAGCUUCUUCCCCUUUCCUGUCUUGUUUCGCACCCACAUCCUUCCCAUGUUUCCUCUUCCCAAAUAAACUACUUGCAUUGAAAUCUUUGUCUCAGGCUCUGCUUCUGGGGAAACCUGAAC
rnacentral:lncRNA from 10 species